rnacentral:tRNA from 1 species
GCAGGAAUGGCGGAAUUGGCAGACGCGUACGGUUCAGGUCCGUAUGGUAGCAAUACCAUGAGAGUUCAAGUCUCUUUUCCUGCACCA